rnacentral:lncRNA from 1 species
ACUUUUUCGAAACACAGGCUGUUGAAGUUGGCAAUCCAUGGCAGAGGGAAAAUUAUGAGGCACUGCAUUUUAUCUUUUAAAGAAUUUCACUCUGUUGUGACACACAUUUUACUGGCCAAAUCAAAGUAAAUGGCCAUAGCCAACUUCAGGGUGAAGUGAAAAUGUGAUCCUAUUAUUAUAUGCCUACUAUGUGCCUGGAGGAAUGUGAUUUGUUAGAAAUUCAGUGAAUAGGACUGAUACCACACCAUCAUUGAUUUGAAGUACCAUAAAAGCUUUUACAUAGUACUUGAAUAAUUUUUUAAAAAAUAGCUAGAGUUUGGGCAAGAAAAGAGAUACAGAGAUGGUGGAGGAAAAUAUGAAGAACCAACAAAUCUAUGGGAAUAUAUAACAAGAGUUCAAAGAGCACAAGGUGAGUUCAAACUACUUUUAGAUACCUGCGUGAUUAUCUUUCUGCUAUUUCAAUCUUCAGUCUAUUACCAGACUUGGAAAACUUGGAGCUUUUUUAGAAGCAUGGCUAACAAAAUACUUCAUUUGGGCUACAUUUAUUGCUUUGGUGUUGCUUUAAUAUCUUCUUAAGUGGUGUCCUUGAAUCGAACAGUACAUUUCUCCAAUGCCUUUGAUAGGGACAGAGUAAAGGGACAAAGUGGGUGUGAUUAAAUAGUUAAUCCCACUAGGGGAGUAUAGGUAGGAAAAAAAAAAAAGUAUGAGAGACCCCUGUAAAUUAAUCAUCACUCAAGAGAGCAGACUUGCUUAAUAACAAAAUCAGGCAGGUUUGUUUAGCAACAAAACCAUACAACAGAAGCAUGAGACCUGCCCCCAAACAAUAGCAUGGUGGAAUGAGACCCACAUCCUGCCCAGUGAGGUUAUUAGCAAGUUAAUGAUUCCUAGGACAGGAUUGUCUGCACACACUAAAAACAAAACUGUAGGAAAAGGAGACGUUAUACUGAAACCUGAGGUAAUUUAUAUUUUGGUGUAUGUUACUGUCUUUUUUUGCUCAUUUCUACUGCACCAUGACAAUCCCAUUUUGGGACUGGAAUAAGAAAACUCCCCUGCCUAACAUGGAGGAGGAACUAAAGAUGGAAGUUUCAGGUCUACUCGGGAAUGAGGAAGAAGGUGGUCUUCUCCCCCUCACCAUUCUUCCCUUGAUUAUAAAACUCCAGUCCACUAGUUCUCAGGGUGUGGCAGUCACUUGUCCACCUGCUUAUAUUUCUCACAUGCAUCCUAUUCUAAUAAAUCACCAUUUCUUAUCUAUCACUUGGACUCUCCCUGAAUUCUCUUCUGCGUGAGACUUAGCUGAAGCUCCUCAGAAUCCCCUAAUGUGCCACCUAGUGGUUUCACAUUCACUAAUACUUUAAUUUUUCUAAAAUUGUCUUUGGUCACUUUUGUACUUAAGAACAGUAAUUAUUCGUUGUUGUCUUUUGUGGUCAAUUGAUUAGUCUAUGUCCAAGAACCUAAGUAUGUUAAUAUUUAAUAUAGCAUUCUUAAGCUAUUUAAAUUUAUUUAUGCAUCUUUUUUUUUUUUUUUUUUGUAUACCCAAGGGGAUAGUUUCCUUAACACCAAAACAAAACAUAUUCAUAAAUAGUUCUUUCACAUUGUUCUCCACCUGGGAUAUACAUUUUCCUCUUCACUAAUCCAAGAAGUCUUCCUAUUUAUACUGCACUUUAUCCAUGAAAUAAUUUCCAUAUUACCUCAGUAUAUUUCUUUUUUUUUUUUUUCCUUUUUAUGGCCACACUUACGGCAUGUGGAAGUUCCCAGGCCAGAAGUCAAAUUGGAGCUGUACUUGGAGGCCUAUGCCAUAGCCACAGCAACGUCAGAUUUGAGCUGCAUCUGCAAUCUACACCGCAGCUCAUGGCAAUGCUGGAUCCUUAACCCACUGAGAGAGGUAAGAAAUCAAACCUUCAUCCCCAUGGACACUAGUCAGGUUCUUAACCCGCUCAGCCAAAAUAGGAACUCCCAGUGUAUUUUUUCUUUAAUAAUAACAAAAUAGAAAUAAAAAGGAGGGAGUUCCCACCAUGGCUCAGUGGUAAUAAACCCAACUAGUAUCCAAGAGGAUGCGGGUUCGAUCCCUGGCCUUGUUCAGUGUGUCAAGGAUCUGGCAUUGCCAUGAGCUGUGGUGUAUGUCGCAGAUAUGGCUUGGAUCCCGUGUUGCUGUGGCUGUCGGGUAGGCUGGCAGCUGUGGCUCCCAUUUGACCCCUAGCCUGGAAACUUCCACAUGCUGUACCUGCUGCCUUAAAAAGCAGAAAAAGCAAAAAGAAAAAAAUCAAAAAGGACAUUAAGGUAUUAAAUGAUUACUAUAUAAUAUGCAAUUAUCAAUUGUUGAACAAUUGAGAAGUCAUCAGAAAACUCGAUUUUAAUUUGACUAUGCCAUAGGAAGGGAUCAAACCCAUGCCACAAUAACAACCCAAGCCACAGCAGGGACAAUGUCAGAUCCUUAACCUGCUAAGCCCCUGGGGAACUCCUGCCCAUUUUUUAAAUUUGUUUUUUUUUGGGGGGGGUGCGCUAUUGUUUGAAUUCUUUAUUUUGGAUAUUAACCCCUUGUUAGAUAUAUUGUUUGCAAAUAUUUUUUCCUAUUCUAUAAGUUGUCUUUUUAAUUCAUUUCUGGUUUCUUUUGCUGUAAGAAGCUUAUUAGUUUUUAUGUGGUUUCAUUUAUUUUUUUUAAAUUUUGUUGCUUGUUUUAUAGGUGUUACAUCCAAAAAAUCCUUUCUAAGACCCAAGUCAAGGAGCUUUAUUCCUAUGUUUUCUUCUAGAAAUUUUAUGGUUUCAUGUCUAACGUUUAAGUCUUUAUCCAUUUUUAGUUAACUUUUGUGAGUAAUGUAAGAUACAGGUCCAUUCUUUUACAUGUGAAUAUCCAGUUAUCUCAGACCAUUUAUUGAAAAGACUAUCUUUUCUCCAUUUAGUAUUCUUGGCUCCCUUGUCAAAUAUUAGUUAUCAUCUGCAUUUGGGUUUAUUUUUGGGCUCUCAAUUCUGUUCCAUUGGUCUGUUUGUCUGUUUCUAUGCCAACACCUUACUGUUUUGAUGACCAUAGCUUCAGAGUAUAACUGAAAAUCAGGAAAUGUGAUGAUUCCUGCUUUGUGCUUCUUUCUCAAUAUUUCUUUGGUUAUUCAUGGUCUUUUAUGGUUACAUAUAGAUUUCAGGAGUUUUUUCCUCUACUGUUAUAAAAAAAUGCCAUUAGACUCUUGCUAGGGAUUUCAUUGGAUCUAUAGAUAGCUUUUGGUAGUAUAAACCUCCAUUUCUUUAUGAAUACAUUAGAGAUUAUGAUACUAAUUAUGUCAUUGGACUAUUGUAACAAAUAGGGGUAAAUUUAUAGACGUUUUGAAGCCUCAAGUACUGACCUAUUUAAUGAAUUCCUUCAGAUGCAAUUCAAAAAUGAAAGUAUUUCUAAACCAUAAAUUGGAAGAAAGCCCAACAAAAUUUUUCUUUUCUUUCCUUUUUUCUUCUCUUCUCUUCUCUUUCCUUUUUAAGGUGGCACCUGUGGUAUAUGGAAGUAGCCAGGCUAGGGGUUGAAUCGGAGCUGCAGCUGCUGUCCUGAGCCACAGUCACAGCAAUGCCAAAUCUGAGCCACAUCUCUGACCUAUGCUGAACUUGCAGCAAUGCCAGACCUUAACCCACUGAGCAAGGCCAGGGAUGGAACCUGCAUCCUCAUGGGUACUAGUCAGGUUCAUUUACAUUGAUCCACAAUGGGAACCCUUGAUUUUCCCUAUGAUAAAAAUAUUUUGUACACCAUGUUAAAAAUAGUAACUAUCAAAUAAUUUCCCCAUUCUAUUGGGAGGGGGUUAUUCAGGCAUUGCUGGUGUCCUAAGCACAUGUUCAGAAUACCUACAACAUAAUCCAUUGCUGGUGGUGAUUAAAAUAUGCCUCAGCUAGAAAACCCUUAGUGAUAAAUAACUGAAUAUUAUCAUGAUGGUUAAUGUUAUUAUUGUGAGGUUUCAUGUGAUCUUAUAAUGAUAAAUAAUAUAUACAUAACCCUAUAAAUAAACAUUAUGAGUAGAAAUAUAUUGGUUUUAUUUAAAUGAGGAUCUAUUUUCUAAAAUCUUUCAGAAAAACUCUCAUCUUAACAGGUAAAAUUAAAUUUGUUAAAAUUGAUAAAUUGGUAGAAAAUUGCUGUUUUUAAAUCAAAAGAACUUUUGGUGGUACUGAGAAAUGGAAAUGAACUUGUGACAGUCUUAAGGGUCAAAUCUGUCUUGAUCCUCUAUAAAAUGUAAAUUUAUUUUUUUCCUUUUAACUUGAAGACCAGCUUGGUUAAAGAUGGAAGGGCUAAUAAUGAUGUGCAGAGCAACUAAAACACAUGACCCUGCAUAAGAAGGAAUUAACUAUAGAACAAAUAGAAAAGUUAUAUUAGAAUGGAAAAAUGCAUGUACCUUUAAAGUAAUUUAUUUGCAGAAGAAAUUUAUUUGUUAUAACAUUUUCUCAGAAACAGGAGAAAAUAGUUUUAUUUCAGACUUUUAGCACAGAUGUAUUUUUUAUUGUUUUCCCUUUUCUUUUCAGCAAAGCCUUUUUAACACCCCAUUUAAAUAAAUGUGUUCUGGAGUUCCCGUCGUGGCGCAGUGGUUAACAAAUCCGACUAGGAACCAUGAGGUGGCGGGUUCGGUCCCUGCCCUUCCUCAGUGGGUUGACGAUCCGGCCUUGCCGUGAGCUGUGGUGUAGGUUGCAGACGCGGCUCGGAUCCCGCAUGGCUGUGGCUCCGGUGUAGGCUGGUGGCUACAGCUCCGAUUGGACCCCUAGCCUGGGAACCUCCAUAUGCUGCAGGAGCGGCCAAAGAAAUAGCAAAAAAAGACAAAAAAAAGUGUUCUUUUUAUUUUGAUGCCGUGUAUUUUUAUACUAACUCUUUAAUAAGUCAUCCUUUUGUGGAUACAUAAUAGUGAGCACCUAUUAUAUACUUGCCAUUGGGCUAAGUCCUUAAGAUCGAAAUGUUGACUAUGACCAACAUGGUGCCUACCCUCCAAGACAGUACUUCAGACAGAAAAGUAGAAUGUAAUGUAAUUGGGGCUGUAAUGGAGGAAGUCCCAUAUGCUGUAACACUACAUAAAGGAGGACCCCAAUACGAACAUUAAUAUAAGUGUGUGGAGAUCAGGGGACAGAAAAGAAUUGGGGGUCUAAAGAGUCGGAUACAAAACCUGGAGGGAAUAGUGUUCCAGAUUCAGCUAAAAAAAAAUAUGAAAGGCCCAAAGGCAAAUUAAAGAUGAAGAAGAAUAAAAUUCAGAAGUUUGUUAAGAAUCAAUUUGCACAGAGCCCUGUAUGACAUUUAAUUGGCUUUGCAUUUUAUUCUCUGGUCAAGGGGCAGCUGUUAAGAUUUUUCAUUAAAGUAUUUCAAUUAAAUGUUUAAUUGAUUUUUAAAAAAUUUAUAUACUUAUAAAUUAUUUCAUGGUUUUGUAAGUAGUUAUAAGGAUUAAGUGGGGUUUUAGUCUUGCUUUUGCUCUAUUCAUUCAUAAUGUUUAAAAUAUAUGACUUUGUAUGUGUUUUAUAAAAUAUUAAGAAAGAUAAAACUUCCAAAGAGAUUUUGUUCCUUUUUUUUUUUUUUUUUUUUUUUUGAAUACUCUCUAAGGUUAGGUCUUUGUGGAUUGGAAGGGGUAAGAUUGCCAUAAAUUUAAAAAAAAAUUACUUGAAUAUUUCUGGUCAAAUUACACACACACACACACAUAUUUCAAAACAGUGUGCUAAAUAUUGAUACAGAUUUUGAUGGUGUAGCUCCAAUAGUACUAAGUGAACUUAGUUCAGUAUUUCAUAUAGUCCAUUGCAUUGCUGAUCAGUCUAGAAAUUGGGUGGAUGAAGUAGUCUGUUACUUACUUACUUUGAUUUGAGACCUAAAACCUUACAAGUCUUAAAAUAUCCUUUGUUGGAUGAGGAAACUCAAAUACUUAUCCUGUGUCCUUCUUUUGAAGGGUUAACAGAAGUAUCUUACUUGUGUAGAGAAACCCAUUACUUUACGAUCAUCAUUACUGUAGGAUACCUCUUCUUAUAACUUGUAAUGUGUGGUGUUAGUUGAAAGCAAAACACCAGAAGUAAUAGGGAAAUUUAAAAGCUCACAAAGGAGUGGGGUUCCCAUUGUGGCUCAGUGGUAAUAAACCUGACUAUAGUAUCUGUGAGGACAUGGGUUCAAUCCCUGGCCUUGCUCAGUGAGUUAAGGAUCCCUUAUUGCCAUGAGCUGUGGUGUAGGUUCCAGCCUCAGCUCUGAUCCUAUGUUGUUGUGGCUGUGCCUAUGACUGUGGCCAGCAGCUGGCAGCAGCUCUGAUUCAAUCCCUAGCCUGGGAACUUCAUAUGCCUGCAGGUGUGGCCUUAAAAAAAGAAAAA